UGUCAGAAUCCAACCAGGAUCACUUCAAAUGGAGCCACUAAUGAUUUCUGUCAUCAUAAGUGCUUCUCUUUGGGGUUAUCUUGUUUG
rnacentral:pre_miRNA from 14 species